rnacentral:rRNA from 1 species
GACGAACGCUGGCGGCGUGCCUAACACAUGCAAGUCGAGCGAGUGAAUCUCCUUCGGGAGUGAAGCUAGCGGCGGACGGGUGAGUAACACGUGGGCAACCUGCCUCAUAGAGGGGAAUAGCCUUUCGAAAGGAAGAUUAAUACCGCAUAAGAUUGUAGCUUCGCAUGAAGUAGCAAUUAAAGGAGCAAUCCGCUAUGAGAUGGGCCCGCGGCGCAUUAGCUAGUUGGUGAGGUAACGGCUCACCAAGGCGACGAUGCGUAGCCGACCUGAGAGGGUGAUCGGCCACAUUGGGACUGAGACACGGCCCAGACUCCUACGGGGGCAGCAAUUAGGAAUCUUGCGCAAUGGGGGAAACCCUGACGCAGCGACGCCGCGUGAGCGAUGAAGUCUUUCGGGAUGUAAAGCUCUGUCCUGUGGGGAAGAAGAAUGUGACGGUACCCACAGAGAAAGCCCCGGCUAACUACGUGCCAGCAGCCGCGGUAA